UCGAGCGAGUCUGCCUUGAAGAUCGGAGUGCUUGCACUCUGUGAAACAAGAUACAGGCUAGCGGCGGACGGGCGAGUAACACGUGGGUAACCUGCCCAAGAGAUCGGGAUAACACCUGGGAACAGAUGCUAAUACCGGAUAACAACAGAUGAUGCCUAUCAACUGUUUAAAAGAUGGUUCUGCUAUCACUCUUGGAUGGACCUGCGGUGCAUUAGCUAGUUGGUAGGGUAACGGCCUACCAAGGCGAUGAUGCAUAGCCGAGUUGAGAGACUGAUCGGCCACAUUGGGACUGAGACACGGCCCAAACUCCUACGGGAGGCAGCAGUAGGGAAUCUUCCACAAUGGACGCAAGUCUGAUGGAGCAACGCCGCGUGAGUGAAGAAGGGUUUCGGCUCGUAAAGCUCUGUUGUUGGUGAAGAAGGACAGGGGUAGUAACUGACCUUUGUUUGACGGUAAUCAAUUAGAAAGUCACGGCUAACUACGUGCCAGCAGCCGCGGUAAUACGUAGGUGGCAAGCGUUGUCCGGAUUUAUUGGGCGUAAAGCGAGUGCAGGCGGCUCGAUAAGUCUGAUGUGAAAGCCUUCGGCUCAACCGGAGAAUUGCAUCAGAAACUGUCGAGCUUGAGUACAGAAGAGGAGAGUGGAACUCCAUGUGUAGCGGUGAAAUGCGUAGAUAUAUGGAAGAACACCGGUGGCGAAGGCGGCUCUCUGGUCUGUUACUGACGCUGAGGCUCGAAAGCAUGGGUAGCGAACAGGAUUAGAUACCCUGGUAGUCCAUGCCGUANACGAUGAGUGCUAAGUGUUGGGAGGUUUCCGCCUCUCAGUGCUGCAGCUAACGCAUUAAGCACUCCGCCUGG
rnacentral:rRNA from 1 species